UUGUAGAGGUGACGACCGUCUUUGUAGUCAGAAAGCUGCUGUGUAUUCACUUGAUGUUGAAGCAAAUCCACCAGAAAGGAUAUUUAAAUUAAUUGACCAAGUCAAUCCCAGUAUUUUCUGCAUUCAUGCUACAAACUAUAAACAAGCACUCUCCUUCAGUUCCCCUGAAAUGCCUACUUCUGAAAAUUUUGAUCGAUUGCUUCAAGAGUUUGGAAGUACUACUUUCAGUGCUGAGCCUGACAGCUGGGAUAUGGAUGCAGAUGCUCAAAAUCCUCCUGAUGCAAAUGAAACAUAUAGAUACGAGUAUGGUGUUCCUAUACAGACAGUGGAUGCUUUUCUAAGGCUGCCUAGUCCUGUUGUCUCCUCUUGGUGCUCUGAUGUGAAUCCUGCAGCAUUUUUAGUAAACCAGGCUACAAAAUGCAUUAGAUCAGUAAGUGUGGAAAAAUGUGGCAGCAUUCAAGCUGUUAGCAUGCUGUUCUACAUCAACUCCAGCAUUUUAGCAGUA